rnacentral:rRNA from 1 species
GAUGAACGCUGGCGGCGUGCUUAACACAUGCAAGUCGAACGAGAAGUGGAGACGGAAACCUUCGGGCGGAAGACUGUAGUUCGAGGGGCGGACGGGGGAGUAACGCGUGGGUAACCUGGCUCAUACAGGGGGAUAAGAGGUGGAAACGACUGAUAAUACCGCAUAAGACGACAGCAUAGCAUGGUGCGGGGGUAAAACCUCCGGUUGUAGGAUAUGGACCGGAGUUGGAUGAGCGUGCUGUCGGGGUCACGGCCCACCAAAGCGACGAUCGAGAGCCGAUCUGAGAGGCUCGCCCCCCACAUUGGCACUGAGACACGGCCCAAACUCCUACGGGAGGCAGCAGUGGGGAAUAUUGCACCAUGGGGUGAACCCUGAUGCAGCGACGACGCGUGAGUGAAGAAGUAUUUCGGUAUGUAAAGCGCUAUCAGCAGGGAAGAAAAUGACGGUACCUGAGUAAGAAGCCCCGGCUAACUACGUG